AUAUUUUGUAAGAAACCGAGGCGAUGCCACGCUUUGCUGCUACUGCCCUGGGCUGGACUGGAGGGUGGGCACGUCACGCCCUCCCGCCCCCACCCACAAACACACCUGGGCAGAGCCACAGGCUGUGGGCACAGCAGGUUGCACCAGAGCCGGUGCCUCGGGGGGCCACCAGGACUCGGGGUUAGGCGCAGUGGCUCAGUGGGGUCAGAACCGCCCCCACCAACAGAGCCCCCCCCAAGGCAGUGCUGGGCCGCCCGUUUGUUCAGCCUCGGGGCGGUGGCCCUCAUUUCUGUGGAGCCGACAUCGGCUUCCAGCCCGGCACCUUGCCAGCCACCUUGGAGCCUCACCAGAUACCCGGAGCGGAGGGCAUCAAUUGGCCUUGGCCAUCCUCCUCUGGGUUGGGAAGGCUCUUUAGUGCCAACUGUGGAGCAAAAGGCAGCUCACCCUGGGCAGGCAGCCCCCACUCCCUCCACCAGCCCACGUCCCAGCCCCGUUCCGCCCCUAGCACACCAGCUGGGCCCCCGGCCCCUGGCAGCCUCCCCUUCCCACCAAGCCCUCCUGGCCUGCAUCGCCCCCUCCCCACCAACCCCACACCUAGCCCAGGGCCCCCUUGCCCUCAAGGGGCUGCAAGGGAAACUCCAGCCCACUCGUACCAGGAGCUGCUACAGGCAGAGCCCCACACUGAGAGGGGCUUCCUGCCCGCACCAGGCCAUGUUCCCCCCCACGGAUCUGGAAGUGAAGGCCCAGGGGACAUGGGGGGAAGAGGCCUUGGUGGUCAGAAAGAGUAAGUGCCUUGGGUGCGGGGAGCUGGGACACAUGACUGGGAGGGGCAGGGAGGGGAUGUGCCUGUCCUGCCCCGUCUGUGGGCGCCCGAGGGCCCGCCUGGAGGCACGCGCCCGCCCCACCAGCAGCCCCCAGACGUGGGGCCGGGACGCCUGGCCCCUGUGUCCUAGAAGGGGCCCUCCUGUGGUCUUUGUCUUGAUCUUUCUUAAUAAACGGUGCUAUCCCCGCCAGGGCUGUCGUCUCCUGUGUCUUUGA
rnacentral:lncRNA from 1 species